rnacentral:rRNA from 1 species
UACGAAGGGGGCUAGCGUUGCUCGGAAUGACUGGGCGUAAAGGGCGCGUAGGCGGCGGCAACAGUCAGGCGUGAAAUUCCUGGGCUCAACCUGGGGGCUGCGCUUGAUACGUUGUGGCUUGAGUGGGGAAGAGGGUCGUGGAAUUCCCAGUGUAGAGGUGAAAUUCGUAGAUAUUGGGAAGAACACCGGUGGCGAAGGCGGCGACCUGGUCCUUGACUGACGCUGAGGCGCGAAAGCGUGGGGAG